AACAGGGAAAGGUUUAUUCCCUGCUGAAAAGAGAAGAAGACACAACGUUUCAGCUGCGGAGCCUUCUUCGGGUGUCAGGACAUGGAAUAAAGGUUUAAUCCUCUCUCCCGCAGGCUUGAAACGCCUCUCUCCUGGAAACCAAGGCACACAGGAGCAGAAGUCAAACGCUGGGUAUUCUGGCCCGGGGCAGGAGCGGUGAGGUUCUGAAGGGAGGCGAUGGCGGGCGAUCCCGGGCUCGAGCUGCAGGCCGGCCCCUCUCCCCCAGCCUGCAGAUACCAAUCGCUCCCUGCACUGGCCCAGGGAGGGCUGGCUGGGAAGUUUAGUACAUGAGGGACAGCCUCCAUCUUGAGCGGAGAGCGCCCCAGACAACAGGGAGCUCUUGGGAUGAGGAGGAGCGGCCGGAGUCAAAAAGAGAGAGAAAGGGAGAAAAGCAGGGCAAGGGAGUAGAGGAGACAGCAGGAGGGGGCAGGGAAAGAGAAGGAGGAAGAAGCAGAGCACGCUCAGAGGCGUUUUCGUGCAGGAUGGCUCCUAAAGGCGACCCCCGCCUCACAUUCUCGAAGCAGCGGUCUGGGCUGGUGGUAAUAUUUGGGAGGCGCCCGUAUACUAACCACAUGUCUCAUCCCGUGAUCCCGAGGCUGUUUUUCAGCUGGCGAAGAAAGCCGACCUGUGACAGGUGCACACCGCUCCUCUCCCCCUUUGCCUCGGCUCUGUUACUUUCAAAAGAAUAAACCAAUACAGUUUAUGUUCCGAAAAACCAUUUCCCAGCUCAUCUCUCAGUGAGCGCGCACAAGCAGACACGCUUGAGGUGUUCAGACAACAUAACCACAGAAUCAGGAGCGAUUUUUAUUUAGACCUCCGUGCGACACUCCAGCGCGCCCCGAGAGCACACAGCGUCUUAGCGACAGCAUUUCAGAGGCGUUGUUGCAAAACAGUUACCAAGACACCUGCAGGUGAAAACGGGACGGAACAGGCCAAAAUAACCUUCGCUGCUUUUGUUCUGAAACAAAAACUACGUCGAGUUUGAUAUUUUUGCGUCUCGAAAAGUGCAGCGAUUUUUUUUUGUUACAAAAAUGCACCAGAACAUUCACGUAUCACAAAAUUCACGAAACAAUACUUGUUUUGUCUAAAAAACACAGUAAGCACACCUGUAAACAGUCAAAUAAAGUUGAUUCAAACUUCUUGGGGAAAAAAAAGCGAAAAUGUUCAAGUAUCAUAAAACGGAAGAACAAGAGAUACUAGAUUGACAACGGAAAUAAAAAAA